GACGUAGGGGGCGAGCGUUGUCCGGAUUUAUUGGGCGUAAAGCGCGCGUAGGCGGCGCGAUAAGUCGGCCGUGAAAUCUCCAGGCUCAACCUGGAGGGGUCGGGCGAGACUGUCGGGCUAGAGGCAGGCAGAGGGCCGUGGAAUUCCGGGUGUAGUGGUGGAAUGCGUAGAGAUCCGGAGGAACACCAGUGGCGAAGGCGGCGGCCUGGGCCUGACCUGACGCUGAGGCGCGAAAGCGUGGGGAGCGAUCCGG
rnacentral:rRNA from 1 species